CACGUAGGGGGCGAGCGUUGUUCGGAAUUACUGGGCGUAAAGGGCAUGUAGGCGGUUUUGUAAGCCUGACGUGAAAUACCAUGGCUCAACCAUGGCACUGCGUUGGGAACUGCGAGACUUGAAUCAUGGAGAGGGAGCUGGAAUUCCAGGUGUAGGGGUGAAAUCUGUAGAUAUCUGGAAGAACACCAGUGGCGAAGGCGAGUUCCUGGCCGAUGAUUGACGCUGAGGUGCGAAAGUGUGGGGAUCAAACAGGAUUAGAGACCCUGGUAGUCCACACUGUCAACGAUGUGCACUAGGUGCUGGGGCGGACGCUUCAGUGCCGGAGCUAACGCGGUAAGUGCACCGCCUGGGGAGUAUGCUCGCAAGGGUGAA
rnacentral:rRNA from 1 species